rnacentral:tRNA from 1 species
GUGGCGCAGUAGCAGGCACGAUACGAAGAUUGAAAAUCCUUGUGUCGGUGGUUCGAUUCCGCCCCCGGCCACCA